rnacentral:rRNA from 1 species
GUAAGGAAUAUUGGACAAUGGACGCAAGUCUGAUCCAGCCAAGCCGCGUGAAGGAUUAAGGUCCUCUGGAUUGUAAACUUCUUUUAUAAGGGACGAAAAAAGGCUUUUCUAAGUCGUCUGACGGUACCUUAUGAAUAAGCACCGGCUAACUCCGUGCCAGCAGCCGCGGUAAUACGGAGGGUGCAAGCGUUAUCCGGAUUCACUGGGUUUAAAGGGUGCGUAGGCGAGCAGGUAAGUCAGUGGUGAAAUCCUAGAGCUUAACUCUAGAACUGCCAUUGAUACUAUCUGUCUUGAAUAUUGUGGAGGUAAGCGGAAUAUGUCAUGUAGCGGUGAAAUGCUUAGAUAUGACAUAGAACACCUAUUGCGAAGGCAGCUUACUACGCAUAUAUUGACGCUGAGGCACGAAAGCGUGGGGAUCAAACAGGAUUAGAUACCCCAGUAGUCC